ACAUCCUCAAGACGUCCUCAGAAGAGCAUUCGAGGAUCUUUUCAGUCCCCGUUCAGGACAUCUUAAAGACCUAGGCAUUCGCUGCGCCCAGUAAAAAUCCUUUAUUUUGUUCACUGAAGUUACCUGUUUUCCGUCCACAAAGUGAGCAAUUCAGGCUUAAAACUACAACAUGCACUUAUGCGACCCGGUAUGCGAUCACAUGAGCUUUGUGCACAAGCUGUGCAACUGAGGUGGAGGAUUUCCUUUUACAUGACGUCAUCCUCCAUCACGGCGCACCCCGGUAGCUCCUCACUGAUCGCGGCCACACCUUCUUGUCCCGCAUUGUUAAAGACCUACUUCGCUCGUGUUCUGCCGAGAACAAGCUUUCCACCUACCACCCGCAGACAAACGGACUCACGGAGCAGCUCAAUUGCACGUUGACAGAAAUGCUAUCUAUGUACGUUUCUGACAACCACAGUGAUUGGGACAGCAUGUUACCCUUCGUGAUCUUCGCAUAUAAUUCGUCGCAUCACGAGACCACUGGCUUUUCACCCU
rnacentral:lncRNA from 1 species